UUUGCGGCACAGUCGCAGGCUCGUGUAUCUGGGCUCCGUCGCCAACUUGGGGAGUGUCAGAAGCUUGACUCCACCGCCACUGAGUUCUACAACAAAGUCAAGAGUCUCGCCGACACGCUGGCCUCCAUUGGACAGCCCCUCACCGACUCCGAGUUCAACUCGUUUAUUGUCAAUGGUCUUGAUGAGGAGUAUGACGCCCUAGUCGAGAUCAUCAAUGAGAGGGGCAACUCCACGCCCAUGCCAGCACACGAGGUCUUUUCACGCCUCCUGCUUACUGAGCAACGAGUCGAGACGCGCCGAUCCAGGGGCAACGACGCCCUCUCGGCAAACGCCGCCACCAAGGGUGGUCGCUCCUCUGCUUCAUCCAGGGCUCCUUCGGGGCAGUCACCACCACCCGCCUUGGCCCCUCCUCCUACUGCGACGCUACCAGGGGCUGGCGGUCCACGUGUGUGCCAGCUUUGUGGUCGCGAUGGGCACUGGGCCUCGAAGUGUCACAAGCGCUUCCAGCGGGGUUUUCUUGGUCUCGGCAAUGACGGGAAGGAUACACGCAACUUUGCUCGUCAGGUCGCCAUGGCUGAUCGUCCGCCGCCGCAGAAGCCAUAG
rnacentral:rRNA from 1 species